GCCCUUAGAGUUGUAUCCUGGCUCAGAUUGAACGCUGGCAGCAUGCCUUACACAUGCAAGUCGAACGGUAACAGGUCUUCGGAUGCUGACGAGUGGCGAACGGGUGAGUAAUACAUCGGAACGUGCCCAAUCGUGGGGGAUAACGCAGCGAAAGCUGUGCUAAUACCGCAUACGAUCUACGGAUGAAAGCGGGGGAUCUUCGGGCCUCGCGCGAAUGGAGCGGCCGAUGGCAGAUUAGGUAGUUGGUAGGGUAAAAGCCUACCAAGCCGACGAUCUGUAGCUGGUCUGAGAGGACGACCAGC
rnacentral:rRNA from 1 species